rnacentral:rRNA from 1 species
UACGGAGGGUGCAAGCGUUAUCCGGAUUCACUGGGUUUAAAGGGUGCGUAGGUGGGUAGGUAAGUCAGUGGUGAAAUCUCUGGGCUUAACCCGGAAACUGCCGUUGAUACUAUCUGUCUUGAAUAUAGUGGAGGUGAGCGGAAUAUGUCAUGUAGCGGUGAAAUGCUUAGAUAUGACAUAGAACAUCGAUUGCGAAGGCAGCUCGCUACACUAUGAUUGACACUGAGGCACGAAAGCGUGGGGAUCAAACAGG